AGUGAACGCUGGCGGUAGGCUUAACACAUGCAAGUCGAACGGCAGCACAGUAAGAGUUUGCUCUUACGGGUGGCGAGUGGCGGACGGGAGAGGAAUAUAUCGGAAUCUACUUUUUCGUGUGGGUUAACGUAGGGAAACUUACGCUAAUAUCGCAUAUGAUCUACGGGUGAAAGCAGGGGAUCUUCUGAGCUUGUGCGAUUGAAUGAGCCGAUGUUGGGUUAGAUAGUUGGCGGGGUAAAGGCCCACCAAGGCGACGAUCCGCAGCUGGUCUGAGAGGAUGAUCAGCCACACUGGAACUGAGACACGGUCCAGACUCCUACGGGAGGCAGCAGUGGGGAAUGUUGGACAAUGGGCGCAAGCCUGGUCCAGCCAUACCACGUGGGUGAAAGAGGCCUUCGGGUUGUAAAGCCCUUCUGUUGGGAAAGAAAAGCAGCCGGUUAAUACCCCGCUGUUCUGACGGUACCCAAAGAAUAAGCACCGGCUAACUUCGUG
rnacentral:rRNA from 1 species